rnacentral:rRNA from 1 species
AGCAGCCGCGGUAAUUCCAGCUCCAAUAGCGUAUAUUAAAGUUGUUGCAGUUAAAAAGCUCGUAGUUGAAUUUCGGGAUCAUCAGGUUGGUCGUGCCACUGGCAUGUACUUUCCUUGAUGGUCCCUCCUUCUUGAAGAACCGUAAUGCCAUUAAUUUGGUGUUGCGGGGAAUCAGGACUGUUACUUUGAAAAAAUUAGAGUGUUUAAAGCAGGCUAACGCUUGAAUACAUUAGCAUGGAAUAAUGAAAUAGGACGCUCGAUCCUAUUUUGUUGGUUUCUAGGAUUGACGUAAUGAUUAAUAGGGAUAGUUGGGGGCAUUAAUAUUCAAUUGUCAGAGGUGAAAUUCUUGGAUUUAUUGAAGACUAACUACUGCGAAAGCAUUUGCCAAGGAUGUUUUCAUUAAUCAAGAACGAAAGUUAGGGGAUCGAAGACGAUCAGAUACCGUCGUAGUCUUAACCAUAAACUAUGCCGACUAGGGAUCGGAUGAUGUUAAUUUUUAAUGUACUCAUUCGGCUACCG